UACGUAGGGUGCAAGCGUUGUCCGGAAUUAUUGGGCGUAAAGAGCUCGUAGGCGGUUUGUCGCGUCUGCUGUGAAAUCCCAGGGCUUAACCCUGGGCCUGCAGUGGGUACGGGCAAAUUAGAGUGCGGUAGGGGAGACUGGAAUUCCUGGUGUAGCGGUGAAAUGCGCAGAUAUCAGGAGGAACACCGAUGGCGAAGGCAGGUCUCUGGGCCAAAACUGACGCUGAGAAGCGAAAGCAUGGGGAGCGAACAGG
rnacentral:rRNA from 1 species